UACGUAGGUGGCAAGCGUUAUCCGGAUUUAUUGGGUGUAAAGGGCGUGUAGGCGGGAGCGCAAGUCAGAUGUGAAAACUCAGGGCUCAACCCUGAGCCUGCAUUUGAAACUGUGUUUCUUGAGUGCUGGAGAGGCAAUCGGAAUUCCGUGUGUAGCGGUGAAAUGCGUAGAUAUACGGAGGAACACCAGUGGCGAAGGCGGAUUGCUGGACAGUAACUGACGCUGAGGCGCGAAAGCGUGGGGAGCAAAUAGG
rnacentral:rRNA from 1 species